AGGAUUUGGGCCUCCCCGCCCCAUACCUGGAUCUAGGUCCAGUGAUGGAGACACAGGGCAAAGAACACUAACAGAAUUAUUUUGACUCUGUAUACUUGUCGGGGCAUGCGCUUGUCACAGGAAGUCUGGAAUAAUCACUUCUCCUUUUCAGUGGAAGCUGCCUUGACAGAAAUGCAGGAUUGUUAGAUCUGCCCACCUCCUCUCAUUAGGCUGGAUUAUUUUGGCAUCACGCGUACAUUUACUUUGACUACAUGGAGGAGGAGUCACAUCCAAUAAUCAAUGUUUUUUUUCCCCCACAGAUAAUCAACAUUGUAGUCUGGAAACACGUAUUUUACAGUAUAUUUUAUUACUUCCACCAAGCUUAUAAAUAGGUCAUAGAAAUUGACUUUGAUCUAAAAAGUUUAUUAAUUAGGCAACUUGCUUUACUUAGGGAUUAAAAACAAAGAAUAAAUACAACGAUGCCUCAUUUCUUUCAAAAGGUUCCCCGGCCCUUUAAAUAAAAGCCGAACUACUUCGUUAUUUUAAAGAGGUCUAGGAGAGGAAGCUUUAAAAAUGUAAAACAAAACAGAAAACCCUUCUCUGUUUAAGGUACAUUAAGGUAUCAACAGCUGAAACGAAAGAUUAAAGGCAGUUAAUUAUCCUCCCGGGGCUUGGCACAGUGAGCCCGCCCGUUUGGGAUCAAGAUCCUGGCCGGGGCUCAUCUCUUUCAAGUUUCUCUCCUUUCUGCAACUUCCAAGUCCUCAUUAGACAGUUUUCACUUUUGGUUAUAUUUACAAUGAGUCAGUGCUGAAGAGGGCUGACUGAUGUGACCUGGGUGCGGUGUCCCAGAGCCCUGGCAUUCCCCGCUCCCGUCCUGGGCCACCCGGAGCAUCACUUAGAUUCCAACGGUGGUCCCGGCCUGAAGGAAGAUCCAGGGCCCAGCCUAAUCCAGAGUCAUCCCCGCAGAACCUAAGAAGAUGGCAGAAAGCUUGUUUGUCUGUUUUCCAUAAAGAUCAGCAGGUGCUGCAGCUGGACUUAGAAGACCUAGCGGGGUUCCUGACGGGCCUUGGCUGUGCGCCCCUGAGCCUCAGUCUUCCUCUCCUGGAAGAUGGGAACAGCAGGAGCUUUGGACCUGCCAGACAGGACUCGGAAGGUGAGGUGCACACGGGAGCACUUUAGGAGCUUGAAGUGAUGAGCGGCAGGGCUUCUGCUCCCGUUCUGGAAGCUGAGGGUAGGGGCUGCGGCUUAUUCAACGGGAGGCCCGGCUACUGCUCUAAGUAUGUCCUUGGCAAUUCUGGUGUCGUCUCAAUCGUAGUGUCGGGGCCUUUGCACAUCUGCGCACUUGCCUUUGUGUGUACUUUUUAAAAUCUGCUUUGGAUAAAUUUGUGGGGCCAGGCCUUGCGGCUUGAGCAGAGCAGAGGCCGACCCAGGCUGCAGACGCCCUCCACGUUCACCACGUGGGCCCCUGGGGACAAAAGGCCUGGUUGACCCUUGUCCCCGGGAAGCUGCGGAGCUGCUAAGGGCAGGCCAGACCCAGAGUGAGCGGCCCGUGAUCAGAGGAGUAGGAAAUGAGCCCGGCUUGUGAUUCAGGCACAGAAGGUUCUGGGAACAGAGUCGCGGCCUGCUGGGGCGGCCCAUCAGCCAGAGGUGGUUUAGGGACCGGGGAGCAAGGACUCGUCCGUUUGUCCUGAGCCUUGAAACGGGGCCAGAGUUUAAUAUGGAGCCCACAAAGUUAACUGGAGUUUAUCUGACUUUAUUUCUAACUUAAUGUGCGGUUCAAUUGUCUCUUGUCAACGUAUUCUUGAGUUUCUAAAUCAUAAAAUCUGCUCAUUUCAUUUGCUUCUUAAAUACUCACGGUUACUUCUUUUCUAUUAGUAAUUAUUUUCAAACUUAGUGUUUUUUUUUUUUUUUUGCCUUAAAUUGUGUUUUAUGAAUUAGUUUCUCGCCUCCAUUUUCUCCUUGUCCAUGUUUUGCUGGUCAAUAUCUUAUCCCCUUUUCACUUUUCGCACAUUAAUUCGCAUGCAUUGUUUGUUCAGAGGCGGACGGCUUGCUUUUACUUUUGCCCAGCGUGAAGGUUCUAUCUUUUCUGGUGGUGACUCAGCGUACUCACAAUUAUUAUUAUAUCUCAUAUGUCGAUCUUAAUUUGUUCAUAUUUUCAAAUGCUAUCAAUUUUGUCUAU
rnacentral:lncRNA from 12 species